rnacentral:rRNA from 1 species
UACGUAGGGGACGAGCGUUGUCCGGAGUUACUGGGCGUAAAGCGCCCGCAGGCGGUCCGCUCAGUUUGCGCUGACAGCUCCUGGCUUAACUGGGAGAGCGGUGCGAAGACGGGCGGACUGAGAGGACCAGAGAGGGACAUGGAACUCCGGGUGUAGUAGUGAAAUGCGUAGAUAUCCGGAAGAACACCAAAGGCGAAGGCAGUGUCCUGGCUGGUACCUGACGCUGAGGGCGAAAGGCUAGGGAGCGAACGGG